rnacentral:rRNA from 1 species
AUCUAUUAGUCUUGACCAAAUCAUGUGCCAGCCGUCGCGGUAAGACAUGGAAGACGAGCGCUAUUCAUCUUUAACAGGUUUAAAGGGUACUUAGACAGUUAAUUAAGCCUACAUAAGGGACUGACUAACUAGAGUUUGAUAGAAAAAGGCUAGAACGGUAUGUGGAGAGAUAAAAUAUUUUAAUACAUGCUAAAAUCUGACAACGGCGAAGGCAACCUUUUAUGUAAAAACUGACGUUAAAGGACGAAGGCUAUAAAUAAAGAAUAGGAUUAGAUACCCUAGUAUUCGUAGCAGUAAAUGAUGAGUGUCAUAGGUAAGUGAUAUAGCUUACGUAUAAAUGAAAGUGUAAACAUUCCACCUUAAGAGUAAUAUGGCAACAUAGGAACUGAAAUCAUUAGACCGUUUCUGAAACCAGUAGUGAAGUAUGUUAGUUAAAUUGAUGAUCCACAAAGAACCUUACCACAAUUUGAAUGUAAAUUCACAGGAGUUGCACGGCUGUCUUCAGUUGAUAUCGUGAGAUUUUGGUUAGCUCCAUUUAAUCAA